UGAAUCUAAAAUCUGAUUUGGAUUGGGAAAAAAACCCGAACCGGAUUCGCGGCCGGAAACCCACUUUGCCUACGCAAAAGAAAACCCCCACCUGUCGCCAUUCCCCGUUUUCUCCCCCCUGCAAUCCUGAGCAAAUCUCCCUCUCAUUCUCCGGCGUCGGGCGCUUCCAAUGGACGAAGUGAUCACGGCCGCUGAUGCAUCGGCAAGCUUUCGAUCGGUUUCAUCUCAGCCGUCUAUUAUCCCGGAUAACGUCCCCCUCAUCUCUGCCUUCUUCUCCUUCGCUUUCGCUCAGUUCCUCAAGCUCUUCACCACCUGGUAAUCUCCCUUCUCCCUCAUUCUUUCCUCUUCUUCUUUCUGUUGGCUUGCUUAGAAAACGCGUUACAACUCUCAAUUCGUUGAUCUUAUAGUUAGUUAUUCAGUACUGUUUGGGUCUGGAGCUGUAAGCUGCCGAAGGGGAAACAUGAUAUAAGUUUUUAAUUUGUGCGUCUUUUCUUUUUAACUUUGUUAUAGAAUUAAACUGGAAGUUUCAUAUUGUACGGGAUGCUUGAAGGGGUUGGGGUUUAAACUAUGCAGUUUUAAAGCUCAGACAUGGAUGCCAAUGGUUGCUGAACAUGCAUGUUUUGGGCACUUCAAUGUUAGCUUACACAAGAUCAAUAUAUAAAUGAGUAGGCAAAGACAAGAUUUUGCAGCUUGAACGUUUACCAAUGGAGGUGCUGGUCGGGGAGCUUUAGGAAAAUUACCGUACUUGCUCUUGCCUUUAGGCAUUUCUUUUUGGACCAUUACCAAAAGUUGAAAUGCGAGAUCAUUUGCCAUUGAAAUGCCAUGUUAAUCUUGCCUCUUGCUGGUAAAUUUUAGGAUACAAUUGGCUAAUGGUAGACUGUUGUAAAUGCCAUGUUAUUCGUUUCGUGCUGCUAAAGUUUAGGAUAGAAUUGACCAACGGUUGAGUCUUAUUGCUUUGACUUCAAUUUUCUUUUCCUCGUUUCUGAAAGAAAGAGUUCUCCACCUAUUUUAGUUUACCAGAGUUAUAGCUGUAUAUAACAUGUAAUGCGCAUUGGGUUAUGCAAUAAUGUUGUGAACCGCGAGUAGAGAAUGCAUUUGCAAGAAUGGUGUUAACUGUGAGUAGAGAAUGCUUUGUGAGUAGAGAAUGCUUGGGUAAUCUUUCGUCCUCUGGUAUUUAUAAAUUGCUGUGAGUAGAGAAUAUUCAUUGGUUGAGAUUUGAGAAUCACCAUGAUGGCUAUGCAAAGUAGGGUUGUUCAGAUGUUCAGUGUUA
rnacentral:lncRNA from 1 species